UACGGGGGGGGCAAGCGUUGUUCGGAAUUACUGGGCGUAAAGGGCUCGUAGGCGGCCGACUAAGUCAGACGUGAAAUCCCUCGGCUUAACCGGGGAACUGCGUCUGAUACUGGAUGGCUUGAGUUUGGGAGAGGGAUGCGGAAUUCCAGGUGUAGCGGUGAAAUGCGUAGAUAUCUGGAGGAACACCGGUGGCGAAGGCGGCAUCCUGGGCCAACACUGGCGCUGAGUGAGCGAAAGCCAGGGGAGCAAACGGG
rnacentral:rRNA from 1 species